GGCCAGCGUGCUGCUGAGCCCCGCAGGCGGGGCUCCUUUCAGCCUGGGUCCCGAAGCUGAAGCUGGGAUGGAAGACCAUGGUGGCCUCUGCCCCAGGACGUGAUGACCUGGAGCUGACGGUCCCGAAGCUUUCCCUGACCAUCAUCCUCAUUGCUGACCACACCCUGCCCGGACCUGACCCACCAACGGUCCCACCCACCCAGGAUUCCACCACUCAGGUCCCCAUCAUCAGGAAGCCCAAUGAGGGUGCUGAGGGGACGUCCAGAGCGCGUGGACAGGGCCUCCGGGCAGAAGUGUGGUGCUGAGGACGUGUGGCCACCUUCCUGGGGUGCAGCUGGAGCAGCUCCUGAUACAGCUGUGGGGCGGAGGGCUUACCUAACGUCUAAGUACACCCUACUCCACGAGAACCAGCAGGUCCUGCUGUCAGGGAACAACCCCUGAUCGAGGGUUGGCCAACCUGGCUUGACUCUGUGCGAGGCAUGUCCUUGGGGCCAAGGUCGGGGGUAGGGGAUGUGGGCUGUCCCUGGGGUGGGUGAGGGCAGGGAGGCAUGAGGUUUGUGGAGGGGCCAUAGGGGCGAGAUCAGCAAGGUGGCAGGAAAUGGGAUGAGGUGUGAGCAUGAGACAGACCUGGAGGACACCUGGGGAGCAGAGUGAGGCUGUCAGUGCUGCGGGGAGGACCCUGGCAUCACUGCCCGCUUCAGCCUUGCCCUUUGUGCCGGCCUCGCCCCUCCCAUUUAUUCCCCUAGGUCUCCCAGCAGCAGUGUUUUUAUGAGUUUCUUUAUGGUGAUUGGCACAGACACGGGGACCUAGAGCUGCGUGCCCCCACCCCCGCCAAGGCCUCCCGAGGGCUUUCGCCAUCCUGACUCCGCGUGCAGGGCACUAAAGAGGCCCUUUGCAAGUUAGAGUGCAGGGAAGCACCUGAGGCAGCUGCAGGUCCCAGGUGCUGGGCUCCGGCACAAACAGCCUGGUGGAUGGGUCUGUGGCCUUUUCUGGAAAUCUUUUCCUCUCACUCUCCUGGUCUCCCACAUAGAGGUCUAAAAACCUGAGUCACCCUGUCCUGAACUGGUUCUCUGGCAAAU
rnacentral:lncRNA from 1 species